UCCCAGGUCCUCCCAACCUCAGGUCUGGCGCUCUCUCCAUGGAGCCAUCCAGCUGCCCCCAUCCAAACCAAUUUCUAUUUCGACCUUGUCAAUUGCCUGGGGCCAUCCAGCCAGUGUAAAAGACUGUCCCAAGAUCAUUCCAAUUCCAUUAAACCAAACUUCUACCCCAGUAGGACCUCUGGGUCGGGCGCUGUGGAAACAAAGGUGGAAAGAUACAAUCCCUUCUCUCCAAAAGCCUUUCAUCCAAUUUGGAGAUGCUACGGGGAAGGAUGUCAAAGUGAGCUCCGGCGUCCCCCGAGGAGAUCGGAGGAGGAAAAGCUCCCUUCCAGCAGGGGAGAAGGAGAUGCCUCCGAGAGGGCAGCAGUAUUUGAGCUGGGUCCUGAAGGAGAUCGCUUCAGGCGGCAGAGACACGGUGCGUUCUUUCUCAUAGAUCCCUCCGGGUUGCUCAGGAUCACUGCAUCGCCAUUAAUGGAGAAGUCCAUUACGUUCGAUUGUACCACAGUGUAUCAGUCUCUGUGUACAAUGUUCUCCUGGUUCUGCUCCUCUCACUCUGCAUCAAUUCCUGGAGGCUGUUCCAGUUCACAUGGAAUUCCUAAUUACAGGUAGAAAUAGUUUUUGGCAAUUUUGAAAUUCAGAUUUUCUCCCUCCCUGAGGCGGUGAAUAAUCUGAUAUAAGUUCUACCAGGAUAAUGAAAGUAGUUUUAACUGGGGCUUGAAGAAACCAGAAGAAUACCAGAGGCAAAGAUGAAAAGGGAGGACAGUCAAGACAUGGGAGAGAGCCAGUGAAAAUGUAGAGAGCAUUUUAUUAGCUGAGAAAUGCAGAGUCUUAUUCCAGGAACAGCAAGGAGGCCCCUGUCACUGGAUCAAAGGAGAAGAGGAAGAUGUAAGAAGACUGGAAAGGUAGGACUGUGCCACUCAGCUAACAAAAGGGCUUUGAAUGCCAAACAAAGGAUUUUAUAUUUAAUCCUGACUAUUAAAUAGCUGCUAAAGUUUACUGAGGGGUGGAGGGCUGAGAGAGGGCUGACACGUUCAGUCCUGUGAGGAAAGACUUGUGGGAGGGAGGCGAAUCAGCUGACUAUUGCCACAGACAAGGUAUAAGGUGAUGAAGCCAUGCUCCAGGGUGGUGACAGUAUCAAAGAGGGCAGUAGCUUUGAGAGAACUUUUAUGAAGGUAAAAUCUAUAGGCCUUGGAAAAAGAUUAGAUAUGGGGUGGGGGUGGGGGG
rnacentral:lncRNA from 1 species